rnacentral:rRNA from 1 species
AGUCAAGUAAUUAAGUGCAUGUGGUGGAUGCCUUGGCAGUCAGAGGCGAUGAAAGACGUGAUAGCCUGCGAAAAGCUCCGGGGAGGCGGCAAAUAUCCUUUGAUCCGGAGAUGUCUGAAUGGGGGAACCCACCUACUUUAAGGUAGGUAUUGCAACAUGAAUACAUAGUGUUGCAAGGCGAACGAGGGGAAGUGAAACAUCUCAGUACCCUUAGGAAAAGAAAUCAAUUGAGAUUCCCUCAGUAGCGGCGAGCGAACGGGGAUCAGCCCAUUAAGUUAUGUGUGUUUUAGUGGAACGCUCUGGGAAGUGCGAACGUAGAGGGUGAUAUUCCCGUACACGAAAGGGCACACAUAAUGAUGACGAGUAGGGCGAGGCACGUGAAACCUUGUCUGAAUAUGGGGGGACCAUCCUCCAAGGCUAAAUACUCCUGACUGACCGAUAGUGAACCAGUACCGUGAGGGAAAGGCGAAAAGAACCCCUGUGAGGGGAGUGAAAUAGAUCCUGAAACCGCAUGCAUACAAGCAGUGGGAGCACCUUCGUGGUGUGACUGCGUACCUUUUGUAUAAUGGGUCAGCGACUUAUAUUCAGUAGCGAGGUUAACCGUAUAGGGGAGCCGUAGAGAAAUCGAGUCUUAAUAGGGCGUUUAGUUGCUGGGUAUAGACCCGAAACCAGGCGAUCUAUCCAUGAGCAGGUUGAAGGUUGGGUAACACUAACUGGAGGACCGAACCCACUGUCGUUGAAAAGCCAGGGGAUGACUUGUGGAUAGGGGUGAAAGGCUAAUCAAGCCUGGUGAUAGCUGGUUCUCCCCGAAAGCUAUUUAGGUAGCGCCUCGGACGAAUACCAUAGGGGGUAGAGCACUGUUUCGGCUAGGGGGUCAUCCCGACUUACCAAACCGAUGCAAACUCCGAAUACCUAUGAGUACUAUCCGGGAGACAGACUGCGGGUGCUAACGUCCGUAGUCAAGAGGAAAACAAUCCAGACCGCCAGCUAAGGCCCCAAAAUCAUAGUUAAGUGGGAAACGAUGUGGGAAGGCAUAGACAGCUAGGAGGUUGGCUUAGAAGCAGCCACCCUUUAAAGAAAGCGUAAUAGCUCACUAGUCGAGUCGGCCUGCGCGGAAGAUGUAACGGGGCUAAAACUAUGUGCCGAAGCUGCGGAUGUAUACUUUGUAUACGUGGUAGGGGAGCGUUCUGUAAGCCGAUGAAGGUGUGUUGAGAAGCAUGCUGGAGGUAUCAGAAGUGCGAAUGCUGACGUGAGUAACGACAAAACGGGUGAAAAACCCGUUCGCCGAAAGACCAAGGGUUCCAGUCCAACGUUAAUCGGGGCUGGGUGAGUCGACCCCUAAGGCGAGGCCGAAAGGCGUAGUCGAUGGGAAAAUGGUUAAUAUUCCAUUACUUCUGUGUAAUGCGAUGAGAGGACGGAGAAGGCUAAAUCAGCCUGGCGUUGGUUGUCCAGGUGAAAGGAUGUAGGCAUGUAUCUUAGGCAAAUCCGGGGUACUCUAUGCUGAGAUCUGAUAGCAAGCUGUACUUGUACAGCGAAGUGGUUGAUGCCAUGCUUCCAGGAAAAGUCUCUAAGCUUCAGUUACACAGGAAUCGUACCCGAAACCGACACAGGUGGUCAGGUCGAGUAGACCAAGGCGCUUGAGAGAACUCUGCUGAAGGAACUAGGCAAAAUGGUACCGUAACUUCGGGA